UUUAGAUUCAACACAUCCUCACCUAUCCCCCUUCUCUCUAGGCACUACGUUGCGCCCACCUCCAAAUCCUGCGUUGCUGCCUCACCUCCGCAGCCUUGUUUCCGCUUGCCGCCUGGCCGACCGUACUCGCCGACGACCCGAAGCAACCAUUACGCGAUGCAACCUAGAUCUCAACGCCAUCCGUUUCGCCAGUUGGUGUGCCAUCCUGUAAAUUGACGGAUUUCCCUCAUCCUGUCGUCUUCGUGAUGCCAAAGGAAGUCGUGGUUAGGAGCAUAUACAUGAUCUGAUGUCUGAUGAGUUCGUUUCUGUUGGUCAGUCGCACUAAAGAUGGAUACGAUGAUAUUCUUGACUUUCCCUGUCUUAUCUCACAAGUUAGCACCUAUCUCAGCUUCUGACGGCGUCUGAUAGGUCGUUGGGAUUAUAGAUCCUGAAGAUCAUAGAUUGGGGAUGUCCACAUGUGUACUACCUAAUGAGCUGGUGGUGGACAUCCUGUCUCGACUGCGGCUGAAGUCCCUGUGCCGCUUCAAAUGUGUCUGCAAGUCUUGGCUUGCCUUCUCAUCUCAUCCAUACUACCGACAAAAGUUCCCAAGAACUCCCACUGGUCUCUUGUACCAGAAAUUUGAGCGUGGCAGACUUGCCUCCUCUCUUGGUAGUGGCAUCCAUCUCGCCAGACUGCCCUCAAGUGACAAGGAAAUUGACACAACACUUAGCUUUGUGCCAUGUUAUAAGUACCCAAUACUGCUUCGGGGUUGCUGCAAUGGCCUACUUCUUUGUUAUCAGAAAAAUAGAAUUGAAGAAAUUUCCAAGCUAUUGUGUGCAAUCCAGCAACUCAAGAGUGGAUGGCACUUCCAGAUACUGAACCUGGACCAUCGGUCUUUUCAGCUAAUCUCAAGUUGUGUUUUGAUCCAUUAUGGUCUCAACACUUCUGUGUCUUCAAAUUUCAGUCGAGCGCGGUCCUGGGCCCUCAUAUAAUUGGAACCUCCACUGAAGUUAAGGUAUUUUUCUCUGAGGAUUCCACGUGGUCUAGUUGUCUUUGGUGGUCUAGUUGUCUUUGGGAAUAUGGAGAUGGAUUUGAAGGUGAUCCGCUCUUUGUAAAUGGGGUGUUGUACAUGAAGCACCUAUUGGCUCAUAAAAUUCUGGCGCUUGACGCACCUGAUAGAAGUACGAAGUGGCUCGAUCAUAGGAUCAUUCAGCUGCCAGGAUAUCCGAAUAGGUCCAAAAUGACUUUCUGUUCUAAUGGAUGUAUUGGCCAGUCUUCGGGUGUCUUAUGCUACGCGAAACAAGAAUUUGAUGGCUGCGCAAUACGGAUUUGGAGUUUGGAAGUCCCUGAUGGGUGGGCGGUGAGGCAUCGUGUAAGUAUGGUUGAUAUAUUUGGCAGAGACAUUUUUCUCCGCACUGACCGUGAAGGAUACUGGGUUUUCGAAUAUAAAAUCAUGGCCGUUGACCUAGAGAGGGAGCUGGUUAUCCUUGAGGACAAAAUUGGUGAUAAGAUCAUCUCAGCUAGCAUCAGUACUGGUAAACGCUCACAGUCCCAAAAGAUUCCAAGAAGCUUCACCCGAAAAUAUCGCAGCCUAUUCUAUGUGCCAUACUAUGGCAAAGUUCCAGCUUUAGCAGUUAAGGGUCAGAGGAUGAAUCAUUCUAUGUUUUACAAUUUAUGGCAUCAGUUCUUUACUUUCCUUUUUAAGUUGGAUUAAGCUACUGUUAUGUGAUGUACUAUACUGGAUUGUUGUCUUUUCGUGCCACUCGUGUGAACAUUGUAGAACUCGCCUUUUCAGCCUGUCAACUCUUGUC